rnacentral:rRNA from 1 species
AUACGGAGGAUCCGAGCGUUAUCCGGAUUUAUUGGGUUUAAAGGGUGCGCAGGCGGCCAUUUAAGUCAGCGGUUAAAUCGUGGGGCUCAACCCCAUUCUGCCGUUGAUACUGGGUGGCUUGAUUGCGGUCGAGGUUGGCGGAAUUCGAUGUGUAGCGGUGAAAUGGAUAGAUAUGACGAAGAACACCGAUUGCGUAGGCAGCUGACCAGACCGCAAAUGACGCUCAUGCACGAAAGUGCGGGGAUCGAACAGGAUUAGAUUCCCUGGUAGUCCGCACAGUAAACGAUGAAUACUUGUUUUCGGCGAUAUAAUGUCGGAGGCAAAGCGAAAGCGAUAAGUAUUCCACCUGGGGAGUACGCCGGCAACGGUGAAACUCAAAGGAAUUGACGGGG